AUUAAAGUGGCAGAUUGAAUGCAAGGAAUUUAAGCUUCCUUAAUGAAGUUUCCUUUAAU
rnacentral:tRNA from 1 species